AUAAAGUUUUAUUUUAGCUUAUUAAAUUAUUAUUAAUUUAAUUUAUAUGUAAAUUUUUGUAUGUAUAUUUAUUUAUUUAAAUAAUUAAUAAUUUAUAUUAAAUUCGCAAUAAUUAGUAUUAUUAAUUAAAGAAAUUUAGAAAAAGUAAUAUUAAAAAGUAUUGACUUAAUUUGUGCCAGCAGUCGCGGUUAUACAAAUAAUACAAGUAAUUUUUAUUAGUUUAAGUUAAAUUAUUUAAUUUUAAAAAAAUUAAAUUUAUUAGGUGAAAUUUUUAAAUUUAUUAUUUUAAUUUUAUAAUUAAUUAAAACUUAAAAAUUUUUAUAAUAAACUAGGAUUAGAUACCCUAUUAUUAAAAAUGUAAAUUUAAAAACUAAGGUAGUAUUAGUUAUGUUCUUGAAACUUAAAAAAUUUGGCGGUAUUUUAGUCUAUUCAGAGGAAUCUGUUAUAUAAUCGAUAAUCCACGAUGGACCUAACUUUAGUUAGUUAUCAGUUUAUAUACCGUCGUUAUUAGAAUAUUUUAUAAGAAUGUUAAUUUUCUUAAUUUUAAAAAAUAAAAUAUAUCAGAUCAAGGUGUAGCUUAUAUUAAAGUAUAAAUGGAUUACAAUAAAAUUAUUUAUAUGAAUAUAAAUUUGAAAUAUUUAUUGAAAUUGGAUUUGAUAGUAAAAUUAUAAAGAUUAAUAAUUUGAUUUUAGCUCUAAAAUAUGUACACAUCGCCCGUCACUCUUAUUAUUAAGAUAAGAUAAGUCGUAACAUAGUAGAUGUACUGGAAAGUGUAUCUAGAAUG
rnacentral:ncRNA from 1 species